ACCCUUCUACCAUACUCAUUACUAUUGAAACAAGUUUUCAACCUUACCUGAAUUCCUUGCGAAAAUUCUGAAUUGAAACCUUCACUCUCUUCUCUUGAUCACCUUUCUUAUUGCCUCUUUGCUCCUUUUUUCUCAAAUGUCUCGUAUUAUUAAAAUCUCCCUAAACCUAGGUUUCUCUUAACUUUUUAUUUUUAGGGUAAAUUUUUCCAAAUCACCAAUUUGGCUCAAACUU
rnacentral:lncRNA from 1 species